rnacentral:lncRNA from 1 species
CACUCCUUUAAAAUUAACUUACAUCCAAACACCCUCCAACAAAUUAUGUUGAACAAAACUCUAUAACUGGUAUCAAAUUCUCGAGAAUAAUUUUACAAAUUAUGUAUCUAACUUCAUAUUUAGAAUUCUUUAUCAACGGACUAAAAUAGUGAUAUUUUGCUCUAACAGAAAGCAGGUACAUCAUCAGCACGGAAAAUUCAUUCUCAUCCACAGCAGUUUUCUGCUGUGUAGGAAGGUGUCCUAAGAUUCUUCCAAUUUCAUCACAUGAUGUAACAAACACACAAAGAGAUCUUCAAAGCCACAAACAAAUUCUUAAGCAUUUAUGCAUUGCCUAUGUCAAAUAACAUAUGAAAAUAAGUGCACAAACGAAAAUCAAUUCGCAUCAAUGAUUAUGAAAUUAUAUGAAGACUCAGAUAAAGUGUAGGAUUAUAUAUUUUGCUUCAUCCAAAUCUAACAAAGUUCAAACCACGAUACACAUCAAAGUGAAGGUUUUCUGAACGCAAAUCUCUAAUUUUGUUUCCCGACGUCCAAUUGCAGCAUCAAAAUUGCCACAUUGGAUAGCGAGGGGAACGCACAUCUCGGCUUCAGUUUAAGAUUGCCAAACACAUACAAAAACGUGCAAGCAAAAAUCUCAUAAGAAAACAGAAGCCUUUCAAAUGAACAAAAAAAAUAAUGCACAAAACAAAAUUAUCAAAUGGAAAUCUAGGAGAAACACAAGAUAACUCAGUCCCUUAGAUGUUCAAAUAAUGUUUACGAUCAUACCCGCAAAUCAUUACAGGUCUGUAGGCUCAUCACAGUUAAAAAUAGCAUAAACCCAAUUACAGAACCGACCAGAAAACAAAAACUAAAAUAACAGGGAAAAUAUAAUUUCAGAAUGAAAUUUAAUUUAGUUGAUCCAAUGUCCUCCCACAACCAAGGGAUUAUGGAACAGAUAAAAAAGAACAACACAUACACUAUUGCUUCUAGGGAACGAGUCCAAAGGGAAUUGAAUUAAUCCACAUUGACCAGAUAAAGAAGCUAUUUUGAAAUGCUAACUCCAAAGUGAAAACCAACUAAAUGAUGAAAAUGCUAAAUAAUUGAUAAUUGUACGAGAAGUAUCUCUACCUGGCUACCUGUAUAGUAUUCUCAGUCCCAAAGUCAAAAAAAAAAUAAAAAAUCAUCAUUACUAACUUAACAUCAUCAUUUAACCUUUUCAACAUUUUAGAAAUAAAUAAUUGUUUGCUUUGAAAGUACUGCCCAAUGUAUACCAAAUAACAAAAUAAAAGCAUUAAUUUCGAAAAAACUUCAACCCACGGACUCAAAUAAGAAUGAAGUGUUAACAAGAAAAAAUUAUUCAAAUUCUACCAUAAAUCCUAAAUUUCUGCAUUCAAACAUCCGUAAUUAUUUCUAAUUUUAAUGGCUAAAAAAAAUCUUCUAUUCACAUAAGAACUGAGUACAUCAUCAGUAUGGAAAAUGCAUUCUCAUCCACAGCAGUUAUUUGCUGUGUAGGAAGGUGUCCUAAGAUUUAUCCAAUUUCAUCACAUGAUGUCACCAACACAAAUAAAGAGAUCUGUAAGGCCACAAACAAUAGAGAAAUUUUCGCAUAUGAAUACAAAAGGAUCCAAUCUGUUUGUAACAAAAACAAAAAAUCAAUAACAAAAUUGCAACAAUGCAUAGCGAAGGUAACACAGAUCUCGAUAUCAAAUAAACAACACAAAAAAUUUAAAACAAGUGCAAAAUCGAACGAAAAUUGACAACUCAGUCCCUUAGAUGUUCAAUUGUGUUUGCGAUCAUAGCCGCAAAUCAUUACAGGUCUGUAGGCUCAUCACAGUUGAAAAUAGCACUGCCAAAGUUAUCCAAUCGACGAAAAACAGACAACACAAACCAAAAUUUUAGUAGAAAAAUGAAUUUAGCUGCUCCAGUAUGCUCCCAAAACCAAAGUAUUGUGGAAAAGAUAUUAAAGAACAACACAAAUGACUAUUGCUUCAAGGGAACGAGUCGAAUGGGAAUGGAAGUAAUCCGCACCGACCAGAUAGAGAAGCGUACGGUGAAUUGAAAAUAGAAAAGUGGAAGAGAGGCAGAGAAAUUAGAAACCCUAAUUUCAUAGGCAGAGGCUACGAAGAAGAGAUGGAACACAGUGCAAGGAAAAAGUGAGGUUUAUAUAGUGUGGAUUGAAGUGGGAGGCGCCCUCUUAUUCAGGUGUGAUUUGCG